UGCCUGGUAGUGGGGGAUAACGUCCGGAAACGGGCGCUAAUACCGCAUACGUCCUGAGGGAGAAAGUGGGGGAUCUUCGGACCUCACGCUAUCAGAUGAGCCUAGGUCGGAUUAGCUAGUUGGUGGGGUAAAGGCCUACCAAGGCGACGAUCCGUAACUGGUCUGAGAGGAUGAUCAGUCACACUGGAACUGAGACACGGUCCAGACUCCUACGGGAGGCAGCAGUGGGGAAUAUUGGACAAUGGGCGAAAGCCUGAUCCAGCCAUGCCGCGUGUGUGAAGAAGGUCUUCGGAUUGUAAAGCACUUUAAGUUGGGAGGAAGGGCAGUAAGUUAAUACCUUGCUGUUUUGACGUUACCAACAGAAUAAGCACCGGCUAACUUCGUGCCAGCAGCCGCGGUAAUACGAAGGGUGCAAGCGUUAAUCGGAAUUACUGGGCGUAAAGCGCGCGUAGGUGGUUCAGCAAGUUGGAUGUGAAAUCCCCGGGCUCAACCUGGGAACUGCAUCCAAAACUACUGAGCUAGAGUACGGUAGAGGGUGGUGGAAUUUCCUGUGUAGCGGUGAAAUGCGUAGAUAUAGGAAGGAACACCAGUGGCGAAGGCGACCACCUGGACUGAUACUGACACUGAGGUGCGAAAGCGUGGGGGAGCAAACAGGAUUAGAUACCCUGGUAGUCCACGCCGUAAACGAUGUCGACUAGCCGUUGGGAUCCUUGAGAUCUUAGUGGCGCAGCUAACGCGAUAAGUCGACC
rnacentral:rRNA from 1 species